GUAGUUCCUUUUUGGGUUAUACUGAGGAAAGGGUACUACCUCAUUAAAAUUCAUAAUGAUGCAUGGCCAGUGGUCAUGCACUGCUGGUUCAACAGUGACAUGUGCCGGUAGGUGUUGUCACAAAAUGGUCGACAAAAUUUUAUUUUUAUGAAAACAGCAACAGCUAGAAACUAGAGAAUGCAAGCGAUAAAAAGCAGAGGGAGCAAGAGAUAGGACCCUGAAAACCAAUUACUUGUGUGUCAAAACAGCUGGAAAAUUUUGUAGGUACGAUCAGUGGGUACUGUUCUACUAUACAAGAAAUGAUAUUGUUCAAUGCAUUUUGGUGGGGACUGUCCAAUUUCAUUCUCACAAAUUCAGGCAGACUAGAUAUGCUCCUGUGACCGGGUCAACAAAAUGUUAGUAGUGGUGGACAGUACGAUGGGUAUAGUUCCAUCUGAGUAACCUAUCAAGGCCAUUUCUGUUCCUUCAAGUACCCAAUGACCUUCAACUAAACGACUCCUAUUGUACGUCCUUGGUCCAAACUUUGAUUCAUCGAUCUCAGCAUCUAUACCAGGGCCACCAAUUUCAACAGGAUGAUCAAUGAAUUAUUGAGCCUAAACGUCACGUAUGAAAUUGUACCAGUUGAUACCCGUUUUUUCACUGAUCUGAAAUGUGACAUUCUGAUGUAACUGCUUAAAACGACAUCAAAUUUCCUGAACUUCCUUGAUCAGAUCUAACAAUGAUGUCUUUGUCGACCAUAGAUCAAUUAUUCUUAUGAUAGUAUAGAGUGAUAGAAAUGAAGUGCAGAUAUUUGCAAACUGCGUGUGUGUAAUAUUUACUGCAAGUUAAUUUGU